AGCAACGAAGAAGAUCUGCAUGUUUGACGCACCACACACACGGGGGUUUUAUACUCAUUAUAAAUUGCGUUAGGGAAGUUCUCCAGACAUGUGUACCUGUAAUGGGUUAUUGAAAGCAGCCUUUCUUAAGGUUGUGGUAUUCAAUUAUGCCAAAUUAUCAGCUAAGAUAGCUGUGGUAUGGUUGGGUAUCCAAUAGUUCUUGUCAUAGGAAUAGGUAUUGCGGAUCUUGGUAAAAUUUAUUUUAUCAUGAACUCAAUGGAGGCUACUCUCUUUUGUUGC
rnacentral:RNase_MRP_RNA from 1 species